rnacentral:lncRNA from 1 species
UGGUAAUUCACGGGAGGUAGAAGAUAUUCAAAGCUGGAAUUUUGGCGCAGAUCUGCAAAAUCCAGGAUAGCUGUGGUCGAUACAGUAAGGAGGUCAGAGUAUUGUUAGAAUCAUUAAUGUCUGGCGUACUGUAAGUCAAUAUCUUCUAUAGUGGAUCUCUACUGGCUUGUGCUCGGAGUUUUUACUCAGUUGGGUUUUCUCCGUCAACAUUUUGUGGCGUUUUUACUGGUUUUUGUUAUUUACUUUUC